GGGAAGAUGGCUCAGUGGUAAAGCUCUUGCCUUGCAUGCAUGAGGCCCUGGGUUCGAUUCCUCAGUACCCCA
rfam:Dipodomys ordii contig_26335, whole genome shotgun sequence.